GGCAAGAUGGCCGAGCGGUCUAAGGCGCCACGUUAAGGAAUCCCAAACCCUUAAUCUCAGGUAUCCGUGGUCCGAAAGGGCGUGGGUUCGAAUCCCACUCUUGUCA